AAGAUUUCAGCCCGUUGGUUGCCAACCGGCGGACUGCACACAGCACACCCACAAGUUGUUCAUGCCUUACGCGUGAGGUGGCUGCUUCCUACUCCGCUUGGGGGUUGGUCAACAGAUGGUGCUGCUAGCUUGCCAAGCAGCUGGCAAGAUCGCCUCUUCCCCUCUCCAACUGGGCACUUCUUCUCUGCAACUAAUGGCUUGUAUCACGCAGGGAGGAGAUUGAAUGGGAGUUUACGUUAAAGCUCCCCAUUCUGUUUCCUGUUCAUCAUUAUGCCUGAAAGAGAGAGAAGUAUAAGAGAGAUGCAGAUAGAGUUGUUGAGUGUAGAGAGAGAGACAGAAGGAAAAUAAAGAAACUGAAGAGAGAGAGAGAGAGAGAGAGAGAGAGAGAGAGAGAGGAACGCAAAACAGAGAACUGUGCGCGGUGUGCUCUACCGGGAGAAAAUCUGGCCCUCUUCGCAUGUGUAAUGGAGUUCUGGACUUUUGGAGCUUCGUCCUCCCUUCCUCUUCCUGUUCAGGGUCUCCUUUAGCCAUUUUAGGCUGCUCAGAAUGCGCAGCAAGCUUCACAAUGCAACUUUCCCUCUGCUGCUGUCAGUCGAGCGCCUACUGCAGGUGGGCGCUAUUCUUCUGCUCUUUCUGCUUUCCUUCUAUUAUUUUCUUGGAAUUAGAGAGUCCUUAGACACUCGCUUAUGUGUUAGGAUCAUUUCCCAUCAAUCUCCUGCAGCGGAUUCUUCCAAAAACACUGCAGAAGUCUCGGCCGACUCACCCAGCUCCGCAGCCACUACCAUGGCGUGUUGCAGAAAUGUUCUUGACAAUUGAGGGUGAUCCACUCGUGCGUUUAGUCCCAAAUUCGAUCCCAAGUGAGGUAAGAAUUGUAAUACACUCUUGAACACAUUUAAUGGAUCUUUUAUCCACUCGUGUGUGUGUUCAUGAAUUUUUGGUGUAGUAAUCUUAUGUUUUCUGUUUGUUUAUGG
rnacentral:lncRNA from 1 species